GUGAAAUGAACUCUUAGGAAACCACUGAUGGAUUCAUCAAGAAGCCCUAAACCUUGGAAAAGCCAAGAGACCAGAGGUCUCACCUUAAAGGUAUCUGGUCCUUCGACCUCACCGUGACCCAGUUUCUUCAGGAGAACAUUCCAGAAGCAGAGCAAGGGGCUGCGAACGGUGUGCAAUGCUUCCUGAACCACCUCAUGGCCCUCCAUCCACUUCGUCUGGGUCAUGCUGGCUCUGCGGCCAUGGCAUUUCAGCGUCUCAUCUUCAUCUUCAUCCUAUUUGUAACCAUGGGGCACAUGCUGUAUUUUUUUUUUUUUAAUGCAAGAAAGUGUAAGAUUAGAAACGCCCAUGUUCAGAAGACAGCAAAGAAGGGAGCUUUAACCUGACAGAGAUGGAACAGAGGAGAUCAGAAAGAAUAGACAAUAAUGGCCACUCAUCCUGCUUCCAGUAUGAAGAUUCCCCUACAUCUAGCAUGGACAGAAGUGUUGACAGAGGGAGGAGUUUUGGCAGAACAACAGAAGUCAAGUACGGCAAUGGCAAAGAAAAAGCCAACUACUAAGCCUGUCUGUCUACCACAUUACUUUAUUGGCUUCCAAAUAAACCCAAUCCUAGGGGACAAAAGAUGUGAAUCCAUAUCAGAAGAGAGAGGCAGUUCUGGAUUCCUGAGGUGUGUAAAGCUUUGAUUCUGCCCCCUCUCUGUAAGGUCUGUUUUCACCAGUCCAUAGCCCUAGGCUUGGUCUUGGAGCUGGGUUCUUCAGGAUAGGCUUCCUGUACAUGAGCUCAUAUGGACUCAACCUGAGUUUCCUUUGGGGGCCAUUUGCAUUCUCAAAAGUGCUGUGGGGAGAAGGGAGAUCUAGGCUGAUGAAUGAACCACAGGAGAAUUCCUAAAUUUUUGCUGAGGGUUUGGUUUGUUCUACUUUUCCUGAGGAUUGUGGCCUCCAAGUAGCGUGUGAACCCCAUUUGAUUCAUAGAGCUCUAGAGUUUCUCUUAGUAAUUUGGGAAAAUAACAUGGGCCCGUUGUGACUCUGGAUGGAUAUAAGGAGCCUGAGCUGAAGAUUACUUCCUUGAGCAAGGCCUUAGACCUCCAAGCAGUCUCUGUUUGAGUGGGGAAUGCUCCAUUAGUUGGAGAAGGUGUCAAAACCAGCAUAGGAGUUCCCUGGUAGCCUCAUGGUUAAGGAUUAGGCAUUGUCACUGCUAUAGCUCAUUGUCACUGCUAUGGUUCGAGUUCAUUUCCCAGCCUGGGAAACUCUGUGUACCAUGAAUGUGGCCAAAAAACAAAACAAAACCAGGAUAUAUCUAAAAUUUAAUUGCCCCAGGGCAUUACUGUGAAAUCAGAUUGCCAGUCUUAACCUGCAUAUGUGCCUUUAUACUGGGUGGGGGUCACUCCCUUGGCCUUGGGUCGGGGGAGGUGUGUUGGGCUUAUUCCAGAGGCAGAUAGGGCAGCUUUUACCACCUGUUUAAGUAGACUGCAGAAAUUGGGAGUAGUCAUGGAUUGGAUAAGCUGUUGAUACAGGGCCUCCUGCCCAUAAAGUAUGCUCUAGUGAGUUUCCCAGAGAGCAAUGGCUGAUGGGAGAAUAGCUGCCCAUGACCAUUAACCAGCUACCUGGGUAUUAUGCCUUUUAAAACAACCCCACCUUUGAGUUUCCUGGUGGCCUAGUGGUUUAGGAUUUGGCAUUGUCACUGCUGUGGCUCAGAUUUGAUCCUUGGUCUAGGAAAUUCUGCAUGCUGUGGGCAUGGCCAAAACAAAAACAGCCCCAUCUCAAAGCCUUUUCCCUUAUUUCUGGGGUGUAUAUGGGAGUGUUGGAGUUAGGGAGUGGGGGAGAUGGUAGGAGUGGCAUUUGAAGUCUGUCUGCACCCUUUGCUGCUUGUGUAACUGCCAUAUCUGCUCUGUUAUUCCCUCUUAUAAUUCCUCCUUCUCCCUUUUGAUGGCCUCUGCAGUGAAUAACUGCUACUCCUUUGGCAGGAGUAUACCCUCCAGCAGCUGCAUAAUCCACCCCCCCCCCAUUAUUAAUCUUUUUAUUCUGAGGUCAGCAUUCCUUUCCCCAUCUAGCUGACCCCAUGGGUAUGUUGGAUUCAACAGGCAUAUUUAGAGUCAGUUUAAAUGGUGACAACUUUGCCUUUCCCAGGUUCUAGUGCUCUGACUAGGGUAGAUAACUCACCUUUAUAGGGAGAACAGACAGAAGGCAAAGCCUCAGCUGUUUGGUCCAAUUCUUAAAGAAAAAAAAAAAAAAAAGGCUAACCCGGAGUCAGAGGUCCCAUUUUUGUGUAAGCACUCCCAGGCAGUUAAAACUUCCCACUAGAAUCAAAUAUGUGUCCAUUCCCCAUGUAGUUCUCUUGGCCCUUGCCUUAGUGUUUUGAGGUUAUGUAAUUAGAUGCAUACAUGUUUAGAAAUUAAGACUUUCUGUUGAAUGUACCUUAUAUCUUUUUAAGUGUCUCCUUUAACUCUAGUAAUGUUUUUUGCCUUAAAGUCUAUUUUUCUGAUGUUAACAUAACUAUGCUUGCUUGAGAGGGGGCUGUAGUUGUGUCCAUAUAGAUGGAGGGGACUGGUCAGGUAAAUCUAACAUGGGAGCUUUCAUGAGAUGAUUUUUUAUUUCAAGGAAAGCCUGGACAAAGUCAGGGAUCCACUAGAAAGGGUCCUUCCCUUUUAAUUGUUCAUAAAGGGCUUAGCAAUUAAACCAAAGUUUGGGAUCCAUAUGCAGAAGAACCCUCCCAUCCCCAGAAAACCCUGGGGCUGCUUUCUUGUACUCUUGGGGGGCUGCCAUCUGGUAAAUCAA
rnacentral:lncRNA from 1 species